ACUUGUUCGCCAGAAUAUUACGGGCGAAAGCCUAAAACUCAAAAGACUUGACGGUGUCCCAAUCCUGCCUAGAGGAGCCUGCUUCAUAAUCGAUAACCCCCGUUCAACCCAACCUUCCCUUGAAAUUUAUUUUCAGCCUAUAUACCGCCGUCCUUUACCGCUUACCUUCUGAAAGAAAUACUAGUAAGCCUAAUAGCCCCUAGCUAAAAAGUCAGGUCAAGGUGUAGCCUAUGGGAAGGAGAAAGUGGGCUACAUUUUCUACUUCUAGAACACACGAAAUAUACUCUGAAAUCAAAGUAACUGAAGGCGGAUUUAGUAGUAAG
rnacentral:rRNA from 1 species